CAUGCCGGGAUUCAAACAUACAGAUUACAAUUCAUCCCUGAGCCACCGACCCUUAAUUUUUUACCUGUUCACAACAAAAAAAAUGUACAAACUAAAGUCAAGUAGUUUCGCCUCCUAAGGAAUUUGAAGUUACAUCGAGUCACGUUAUAAAGAGUAUUCGUGAGUGGGUCAUGUGUUUCUUUUCAUACAGUGGGCCUAGCAUGAAUAUUUGUGACAAUCGCCUCCGUAUCAUCGUCAAUCAUGUCAAAAACAGUAUGACAUUUCUGUUGUAGUUUACGCCCGAUACUGAGCACAAAUUUUAAUAGAAAAUUUUUCGACGAUGAUACGAUGGUGCUUGACUCAAAUAUACAUGCUAGGCCCACUUGUGCUUCUACAUAAACCUGCUGUAAAACCAAAAUCUUACUUAUAGUAGCAAAUUAAUUAACGUAGUAGAAAUUAGAUGUUCUGAAGUAGCUGAAUGUAAGCAUCAUUUAAGAUACUGACUAAUUAGAAUGUUCUUUACAGAGUUGGAGAUCAAGUUUAUUAAAACAAAAGUGACGAAGAAUCAUUUAAUGUUAGUUAACGGAUUUUCAUUUAAAAAGUCUGUUUACAAUAUUUGGUACUGCAGUUCGCGAUGUUCGAAGCGUUGCAAAGCAAAAAUCAAGAUUACGGACGGCAAAGUACAGACCGCGAAAUUGGAUCACAAUCAUAGUCCACCAAAGUUCCAUAUAAAUGAAGAUGGAACGUAUCUUCCCCUUAAAAAGAGCCCUAAUUAGAGUUUCUGAAUGUAACAGUGGUUUUAAACAUUUUUAUAACAUAUUGUCAUUUCUUUAGGAUGUAAGAGUACCUAUUUAAUCGAAAAUUAUCGUCAAUGGAAUUUGACUGAAAUGUACAUUACAUUUGUGUGUUUAGUUGUGUGUGAAGGUCCACUAAGGACCACUAGUCAUUAUAUUAAUUAGAUUAAAUGCUUCAAUUUGUUGCAGACUUUUAAUUAUAAAUGAGACAAACAGACGUAGCUUUCAUUCUUAAUCAGAUUACAUGAUUUCUUUAUUCAAAAUUGGAACACACAACAAAACUUUACACUGAGGAACUCAAGACAUCUUGCUACUUGGGGUAGACAAGUUUUGUAAAAUUGAAUUCGAAUUUGUCCACGUUUAUAACUGCAAGAAACGCAUGCUUAUCGCACAGAGGUAUAAGUUUGCUCAGACAACUAGUGAUGGCCGAUAUUGGAAUUGCAGUAAAAAAGGUUCCUUAAAGUGCAAGGCAAAGAUGCGCUUUGACUGUCGUGGCAACCUCGUAUAUUACUUUCUAAAACACAACCAUAAACCUCCGAAAUACUAUCGAGAUGUCAACGGAGACGAAGUUUAUCUUUAGCAACGAUUUUUUUUUUCAAUUUUUUCUAAACAAACAAUUUUAUUUUAUUUUUA